UGUUAAAAAUUUUAUCUAUUUGCGCUAUUAAAAAUUGGUAUGAUUGACGGAAUAACUAAACAGUGACAUGUGACUUGCUACGUAUAUGUCAUAUUGAUGUAUAUGGAUCAACUUUUAACAGCAUAAAUAGAUAAAAAUUUUAAUA
rfam:Gossypium raimondii Chr08_contig_416, whole genome shotgun sequence.